rnacentral:lncRNA from 1 species
CAUUCCCUUAAACAAAACUGAAAGGCUAAAGUUACCUUCUCUCCGCCGCAAAAGAAGCAGCCCCUCUUCAACUUCGAUGUCGACGAAGUGAGCGAGGUCCGGCGACGCAUUUCGAGAAGGUAAGACUCCACUCCCCUGUCUAUUUUAUUUUGCUUCGUAAACAAAUAUGGAAAAUGAAAAAAAUAUUGAAGAAAGAAACGCAGGUAAAUCGGGGAAAUCACCUCUUUCGAUCUUUCUGUAUUUUUUUGUAAUGAUUUUAUUAAUAUUUUCUUCUACAUUCAUCUUUCUCCUCCUCUUUUUUACAAUAUUAUCGGCUUUUGCCGAAAGAAAAGAAAAAAGAACAUAAAAGAAAAAUACCCCCUUUUACAUUUGUUUGAUUCGGCCUCUUAUAGCCGAAAACAAUGAUACCGUUCUAUUUCACUUCUGUUACUAUUUCUUGUGUUCUGUCUCUGCCCUAUUUUCGCCUUUUUGUUUCGUUUGCAGGACCUGCUGAAGUCAACGAAGACGGAAAGCUUCCAUUUUGGUGCAAGGCUCAGCUGGCGGUGGCAGACCUCGGGCGUGGUGCGCGCCGAAGACGCACAUGGGUAGCAUCGGCGCGAGGCAAGGGGAGGGAACCCCAGGGUUCCCUGUGCUGUUUAGUUUUUGGGCCCCAAUGAGCCGUUUUAGAUUUUAGGCCUUGGGCUAUUGGGUAUUUGUUUUUGUAAUUGGGCCCCGGGUUAAUAUUUUUGGCACUAGGCCCGGGUAAAAUUGGGUCUGUACACUAAUAAAAAGGAAAAAAAGAUCGCAAUAGAAAUCUUCUAUCCUUCUUUGCUCCAAUAAAAUGUGGAUUAAAAAAAGGUUCAUUUAA